rnacentral:tRNA from 1 species
GCCAAGGUGGUGAAAUUGGCAGACACGCUACAUUCAGGAUGUAGUCUUCUUAACCGAAGGUGGGGGUUCAAAUCCCCCUCUUGGCA